rnacentral:piRNA from 1 species
UGAAAAACAUUUUGAAGGCAACAUUGAGAU